GUGGGGAAUAUUGGGCAAUGGGCGAAAGCCUGACCCAGCAACGCCGCGUGAGGGAAGAAGGUUUUCGGAUUGUAAACCUCUGUCCUUGGUGACGAACACAAUGACGGUAGCCGAGAAGGAAGCCCCGGCUAACUACGUGCCAGCAGCCGCGGUAAUACGUAGGGGGCAAGCGUUGUCCGGAAUGAUUGGGCGUAAAGGGCGCGUAGGCGGCCUGGUAAGUCUGGAGUGAAAGUCCUGCUUUUAAGGUGGGAAUUGCUUUGGAUACUGUCGGGCUUGAGUGCAGGAGAGGUAAGUGGAAUUCCCGGUGUAGCGGUGAAAUGCGUAGAGAUCGGGAGGAACACCAGUGGCGAAGGCGACUUACUGGACUGUAACUGACGCUGAGGCGCGAAAGUGUGGGGAGCAAACAGGAUUAGAUACCCUUGUAGUCC
rnacentral:rRNA from 1 species